GAUGUAAACAAGAAAUUCUCUGUGAGGUACUUUUUGAACUUGGUGCUUGUGGAUGAAGAAGAUAGGAGAUACUUUAAACAGCAGGAAAUAGUUUUGUGGAGGAAGGCACCCGAGAAACUGCGGAAACGGAACUUCCAUCAGCGCUACGAGUCACCUGAGCCUCGGCCGAGUCUCUCUGCUGAGCAGCCGGAAAUGUGAGCGGGGUCUGGAGAGCAACCAGCCAGGGACACGCGUACCUCUCAGUGACCAGUCGCAGGAGAGGAGAACAUCUUCCACCGAACAUACAUGCAGAUCGCUGUUCACAUGGUCACCCCUCACAGCUUAUGGUGAUAAACUGUGCCUGAUUUGGCUCUGCCCUCCCUGCCAUCUACAGCAAGCAAUCUGUUAGUAUACAAGGACACUUUUUAGAAAGCACUGGAAACAAUAAUGUAAGUAAUAUAGCACAUCUUCAAGGUUGCACGCCUCCCUAGAUGAAGAAAUGUUUUUAAAAGUGCACUCACUGGUAUCCUCUAUGUUCCACAUCAUAGAGCGGAAACAUAGACCUAAACACAUUUUAAAGAGCUUUCUCAUGCAUGCUAGCUGGUGAAUCUGAGUUCAUGGUAACAGUUAAUAAAGGCAAUGGGGUCAGUUUAAAAAAAAGUUCAAGAAAUGUAAUGGCACCCAGCCACACUGUAUUUGCAAUCCACUUAAACGUUGUAAAACAUUUCUAUUUAACUUAUUUAGCCAUCUUCUCUUUUUUUGUUUUGUUCUUUAAAUGCUCCUUAUGUUAAAGGAAUUCUGUCUUUGAAAUAAAAAAGUAUGUGUCUAUAUAUAAAAUAUUUAAAGAGGUUUUGGACUAGAAGCUUUAUAAAACUAGGGCAGUUUGUGUAAUUAUAUUGGGCACAUGUAUUCAACUUGUCAGCCCAGUUUUGAAUAACACACUGGCUUCGUAGUAAAAGAGGGCCACUUAGUUUUGUGAUCCUAAUUAGUUUUGUGAAUUUCUGAGAUGAUUCGUUGCUAUUGAUUGCUAAAUAUCAUCUCUGCUGCAAUUACAUUUCAUACUGUCUAAAUUGUUAGACACCACAGAGAAAUGCUGGAAUUUUGUUGUAUCCUUUGCAUGUCAUCCUGCUAUAAUGUUUCCUAUCACAAGGGGAUGUUAACAUUUUUUUCAUUGUUGCAAAUGUGCUCUUGCAUAUUUUAAGUGGUUUGUGAAUUGAAUGUUUAUUUGGACCUUUUCAUUUUGAAACUGUUUUUGAUUUCACUCUAAAACAAAUGUAUUCUUUUUUUUUUUCUUUUUUUUUUAAACACACUACAUUACUCAUGGAAAUGUCUGUGUACAAAGCCAUUGAGUGCCC